rnacentral:rRNA from 1 species
GCGAAGAACCUUACCAGGGUUUGACAUCUUGCGAACCUCUGAGAAAUCGGAGGGUGCCUUCGGGAACGCAGAGACAGGUGGUGCAUGGCUGUCGUCAGCUCGUGUCGUGAGAUGUUGGGUUAAGUCCCGCAACGAGCGCAACCCACGUCUUUAGUUGCCAGCAUUCAGUUGGGCACUCUAGAGAGACCGCCGGUGAUAAACCGGAGGAAGGUGUGGAUGACGUCAAGUCAUCAUGCCCCUUACAUCCUGGGCUACACACGUACUACAAUGCUACGGACAAAGGGCAGCAAGCUCGCGAGAGUAAGCAAAUCCCAUAAACCGUGGCUCAGUUCAGAUCGUAGGCUGCAACUCGCCUACGUGAAGGAGGAAUCGCUAGUAAUCGCAGGUCAGCAUACUGCGGUGAAUACGUUCCCGGGCCUUGUACACACCGCCCGUCACACCAUGGAAGUUGGCCACGCCCG